rnacentral:lncRNA from 1 species
UGCCGAGCAAGUAGGACACCAAAAGAUAGAAGCUGUAAAGUAGCUGAGAGAAAAUCACCCCGAAGCCCAGUGCCUGAGGUGAAGUCAUAUUCUUAGAUUAAGAGAGCCGGAGACUUGCCUGGUUUUAUGUCUUUGAUAAUGAUUUUCUUACAACUAUAGAAAUAUGCCUUUUUGAAAACAGCAAAUGCUUUCCAUUUCUGUGGUCACUAUGAAUUUCUCGUACUUAAGCCUUCGGUUUUGCAUGAUGGCCUCCAUGCACAGCAUUUAUGAAGUAUAGUUUACAGGCUUAUUCUUCUCAGUCCACUUAAGGGGAUCCUUCACUUCCUAGCCUUAUGUCCACAUUGUUGUGUUGGGAAAGCAUAAGGCUACCUUUCUAGUGCUCGUUUAGCAGUUGUCUAAAUGCCCUGAAAUUCUACCUGAUCAAACUGAGAUUAUGAGAAAAACGUCUCUAAGAUUUGAACUGGAAAGUCAAUAGUUCUUCAGAGCAAGUUGGAAACUUCUCUCUUGUGAUAUCAUUAACGUCUGCAUUAGCUUCAACUGGCAAGUCUGUUGUAUUCCUGGAUGAAGUCAAAUAUUAAUUGACCUUGCACAAAUAAGAAAGCAUGGGCAAUGCAAAAAAUGGAAAAUCAUGCACUAUACUUUUGAUAUGCUCCUCUUGUCAUUCAUUUUCCUAUGCUCUCUUGGCUGUUUACAAACUAUAUGAAGCUUGUACAUGAAAACAUACAUUUGUUGCAUGGACUGUAUCCCAUCAAUUUUUAGACACAUUACCUUUUGUUGAUUGAUGUUCUCAAACUUUCAAUGUUUUUCAAUGCAAGUUGCAGAAGAAGCAUCCAAGCAGGGUUGCUGAGCUGGAAUUUCAGAUUUCUCAACUUCAGAAUGACCUAAAGAGAGCGAAGGAUCAGCUAGUUUCCUCGGAAGCAUGGAAGAAGCAAGCUGAGCAAGAUGCUGAAGAAUCAAAGAAGCAACUCUUAGAAAUGUCUUUAAAGCUCGAAAAGUCACGGGAACAAGUUUUAAAGAAGUCUGGUUCUGAGGAAGCACUUUUAAUUCAGCCCCAGAAGAUCACUGAAGAUCAGGAUUUGCUAUUGCAGUCUCAGCUUGAGGCUAUAAAGAAGCAGCACUCACUUGACUCAGCUGCAUUGGCAUCUGCCGUG